rnacentral:rRNA from 1 species
GACGGGACCCGGCACAAGCGGUGGAUGAUGUGGAUUAAUUCGAUGCAACGCGAAAACCUUACCUACCCUUGACAUGUUCGGAAUUCCGCAGAGAUGUGGAAGUGCUCGAAAGAGAACCGGAACACAGGUGCUGCAUGGCUGUCGUCAGCUUGUGUCGUGAGAUGUUGGGUUAAGUCCCGCAACGAGCGCAACCCUUGUCAUUAGUUGCUACGAAAGGGCACUCUAAUGAAACUGCCGGUGACAAACCGGAGGAAGGUGGGGAUGACGUCAAGUCCUCAUGGCCCUUAUGGGUAGGGCUUCACACGUCAUACAAUGGUCGGUACAGAGGGCUGCCAACCCGUAAGGGGGAGCCAAUCCUUUAAAACCGAUCGUAGUCCGGAUUGAGGUCUGCAACUCGACCUCAUGAAGCCGGAAUCGCUAGUAAUCGCGGAUCAGCAUGUCGCGGUGAAUACGUUCCCGGGUCUU